GACGAACGCUGGCGGCGUGCUUAACACAUGCAAGUCGAACGAUGAAGCCGGAGCUUGCUCUGGUGAAUUAGUGGCGAACGGGUGAGUAACACGUGAGUAACCUGCCCUUGACUCUGGGAUAACUGCUAGAAAUGGUAGCUAAUACCGGAUACGACCCUCGGAGGCAUCUCCAGGGGGUGGAAAGAAUUUCGGUCAAGGAUGGACUCGCGGCCUACCAGCUAGUUGGUGAGGUAAUGGCUCACCAAGGCGACGACGGGUAGCCGGCCUGAGAGGGUGACCGGCCACACUGGGACUGAGACACGGCCCAGACUCCUACGGGAGGCAGCAGUGGGGAAUAUUGCACAAUGGGCGCAAGCCUGAUGCAGCAACGCCGCGUGAGGGAUGACGGCCUUCGGGUUGUAAACCUCUUUUAGUAGGGAAGAAGCGAAAGUGACGGUACCUGUAGAAAAAGCACCGGCUAACUACGUGCCAGCCGCCGCCGUAA
rnacentral:rRNA from 1 species